rnacentral:rRNA from 1 species
GACGAACGCUGGCGGCGUGCCUAAUACAUGCAAGUAGAACGCUGAAGGAGGAGCUUGCUUCUCUGGAUGAGUUGCGAACGGGUGAGUAACGCGUAGGUAACCUGCCUGGUAGCGGGGGAUAACUAUUGGAAACGAUAGCUAAUACCGCAUAAUAGCAGUUAUUGCAUGAUAACUGUUUGAAAGGUGCAAUUGCAUCACUACCAGAUGGACCUGCGUUGUAUUAGCUAGUUGGUGAGGUAACGGCUCACCAAGGCGACGAUACAUAGCCGACCUGAGAGGGUGAUCGGCCACACUGGGACUGAGACACGGCCCAGACUCCUACGGGAGGCAGCAGUAGGGAAUCUUCGGCAAUGGACGGAAGUCUGACCGAGCAACGCCGCGUGAGUGAAGAAGGUUUUCGGAUCGUAAAGCUCUGUUGUAAGAGAAGAACGAGUGUGAGAGUGGAAAGUUCACACUGUG